rnacentral:misc_RNA from 1 species
AAAAAAAUGGUCCUCCCUUAGACUUUGCGAACUUAUCCUUAUUCUUCUUUUCUCUUGACUUUCUUUGGAUCUCAGUUCUCUUAGGUUAGCUAAGUUUUUUCAUAGUUUCCUCCCUUGUCCAAACGGCGGGGGACGGAUAUUUGUUUUGUUCCGGCUAAAAUAUGGGCAUCCUUCCCAUCUCAAUCUAGUGUGUUAUUAUUGUUAUUUUGUUGAUCUUGUGACUUCAAGGUGAGGGUUUUAAGCAGGAGGCUUGGUGCUGAUUCGUUUUGGAGUUCCUAUGAUCCUUUUGUGCUCUUUUGAGCUAUGGGACAAAGGUGCCUUUUUCAUCUCAAUCGAUGGUCUUGCUUGGUGCUAAGAGAGGUGCGAGAACGCUUAUGGUUGGGUGGCUGGGUCUCCCCCUUCAUGUCGGCGGCGCUGUGGUGAAAAGGUGGCUGAGUCUUCUACCUUUUGCUUAGGGUUUUUGAGUGUAGGGUUAGGUUGAAGAAUUUAUUAUUUUGACUGUGAUGUACUAAGCUUAACUUUGAGCCUUUUGCUGAUAUUGUUAAUAUUUCUGACCCAUUUCAUGUAAAUGUGUCCCUUGAGCCUUAUUUAUGGAAAUAAAUUUGCAAUUUAGAAAAACAAAAAACUUUACCUCUUUCUAAUAAUUGACAGAACAAGA